GUGGUUGCUAAGGUGUUGCUAGGUGGUUGCUAAGGUGUUGCUAUGGUAUCCAGGGUGGUUGCUAAGGUGUUGCUAGGUGGUUGCUAGGUGGUUGCUAGGGUGUUGCUAGGUGGUUGCUAAGGUGUUGCUAUGGUAUCCAGGGUGGUUGCAAAGGUGUUGCUAGGUGGUUGCUAGGUGGUUGCUAGGGUGUUGCUAGGUGGUUGCUAAGGUGUUGCUAGGUGGUUGCUAAGGUGUUGCUAUGGUAUCCAGGGUGGUUGCUAAGGUGUUGCUAGGUGGUUGCUAAGGUGUUGCUAGGUGGUUGCUAAGGUGUUGCUAUGGUAUCCGGGGUGGUUGCUAAGGUGUUGCUAGGUGGUUGCAAGGUGGUUGCUAAGGUGUUGCUAGGUGGUUGCUAGGGUGUUGCUAGGUGGUUGCUAAGGUUUUGCUAGGUGGUUGCUAAGGUGUUGCUAUGGUAUCCAGGGUGGUUGCUAAGGUGUUGCUAGGUGGUUGCUAAGGUGUUGCUAUGGUAUCCGGGGUGGUUGCUAAGGUGUUGCUAGGUGGUUGCUAGGCGGUUGCUAAGGUGUUGCUAUGGUGUCUGUGGUGGUUGCUAAGGUGUUGCUAGGUGGUUGCUAAGAUGUUGCUAUGGUAUCUGGGGUGGUUGCUAAGGUGUUGCUAGGUGGUUGCUAAGAUGUUGCUAUGGUAUCUGGGGUGGUUGCUAAGGUGUUGCUAGGUGGUUGCUAAGAUGUUGCUAUGGUAUCUGGGGUGGUUGCUAAGGUGUUGCUAGGUGGUUGCUAAGAUGUUGCUAUGGUAUCUGGGGUGGUUGCUAAGGUGUUGCUAGGUGUAUCUAACUGGUCGCUAGGCAGUUGCUACCAUUUCUAAAGUGGUUGCUAAGCAGUUGCUAGGCAGUUGCUAACGUUUUCCAGGUGGUUGCUAAGGUGUUGCUAUCUGGUUGCUAGGCAGUUGCUAACGUAUUACACAUGGUUGCUAAGUGGUUGCUAGGCAGUUGCUAAUGUUUUCCAGGUGGUUGCUAAGGUGUUGCUAUCUGGUUGCUAGGCAGUUGCUAACGUAUUACACAUGGUUGCUAAGUGGUUGCUAGGCAGUUGCUAAUGUUUUCCAGGUGGUUGCUAAGGUGUAUCUAACUGGUUGCUAGGCAGUAGUAGAUAAAAAGAAAGAGUGUUAAAUGUAGAAGUACAGAAAAAGGGAGAGCCUGAAAUAGAGAAGUAGAGAGAAAAUCAGCGUGAGAAGUAGAGAAAGAACACCCGAGAAUGUGAGAAAAAGAGUGACAAGUAGAGAGAAAUAUUGAGCGAGAGAAAGAGAAUUAGGGAAAAAGAGAGAUCGAGAAAUAAAGAAGUAGAGAAAGAACACCCGAGAAUGUGAGAAAAAGAGUGACAAGUAGAGAGAAAUAUUGAGCGAGAGAAAGAGAAUUAGGGAAAAAGAGAGAUCGAGAAAUAAAGAAGUAGAGAAAGAAAGAGGAUGUAGUAGAGAGAUAGAUAGAAAGAGAAAGCAAGACAGAAAAGUAGAGUGAAAGAGAAGUAGAGAGAAGAGCGAGAAAUAAAGAGUAAGAGAGAAAUAGAGAAAUAGAAAAGUAGAAAGAAAGAGACAUAGAAAAAAAGAGAGAGUGAGAAAUAGAGAAGUAGAGAGAGAGUGAGAAAGAGAGAGUGAGAAAUAGAGAAGAAGAGAGCAAAAGAGAGUGAGAAAUAGAGAAGCAGAGAGAGAGUGAGAAAUAGAGAAGUAGAGAGAGAGUGAGAAAGAGAGAGUGAGAAAUAGAGAAGUAGAGAGAGUGAGAAAUAGAGACGUAGAGAGAGAGUGAGAAAGAGAGUGAGAAAUAGAGAAGUAGAGAGAGAGUGAGAAAUAGAGACGUAGAGAGAGAGUGAAAAAGAGAGUGAGAAAUAUAGAAGUAGAGAGAGUGAGAAAUAUAGAAGUAGAGAGAGAGAGUGAGAAAUAGAGACGUAGAGAGAGAGUGAGAAAGAGAGAGUGAGAUAGAGAAGUAGAGAGAGAGUGAGAAAUAGAGUGAGAAAUAGACGUAGAGAGAGAGUGAGAAAGAGAGUGAGAAAUAGAGACGUAGAGAGAGAGUGAGAAAUAGAGACGUAGAGAGAGAGUGAGAAAGAGAGUGAGAAAUAGAGGAGUAGAGAGCAAAAGAGAGUGAGAAAUAGAGAAGUAGAGAGCAAAAGAGAGAGUGAGAAGUAGAGAAGUAGAGAGCAAAAGAAAGAGUGAGAAAUAUAGAAAUAGAGAGAGAGUGGGAAAGAGAGUGAGAAUUAGAGAAGUAGAGAGCGAAAGAGAGAGUGAGAAAGAGAGAGUGGUUGCAAAGCCCUGGCUGGGGUGCCGGGGUGUCCAAACUUUUGACUGAUAGCUGCUCCAUACAGCAGCUCCUCCAUACACUCACAGUACUGGAGGAGCAGGGGAGAGAAGGGGUUCCGUGCGCAGAGCUGCUCGUGUGCGAGAUGGAACUCUGGCCCCCCCAUUCAUUUCUAUGGGAAAACUUCGUACGAAAAUUGUACGAAAACCGUACGUCGUAUCGCUUCGCAACCUGCUAUUAAUUUAAAGAUCUCGGUAAGAUCUAUAAGCUCGCCAAAUUUGGUCUUCGUAUCUCAAAAAUUGUGGCGGUUACGGACGUUUAAAAUUUCGCCCCAUUCAUUCCUAUGGGGAAAAAAUGCGUACGUUUACGAAGUUUUUACGAAAACCGUACGAUAAAUCGCUCCAAAAAGCACAAGCACGCUAAGUUGGCAUAGGUCCUACGAUCCGUGAAAGUUUCGUGAUUCUACGUUGAAAGCUCUAGGAGGAGUAGCGUACAGAAAAAAAGGCGUAAGAAUAAUAAUAAUAACUAGAAAAGGCAAAGUUCGUGAACGAACUUUAAGUUGGCUUGGAAAAGUACGCUAAUAACGUUGAAAAGUUAAAAUGGUUGCUAAGUGGUUGCUAGGUAGUUGUGAUCAUUACUAAAGUGGUUGGUAAGCGUUUGCUAGGCAGUUGCUAACGUUUUCCAGGUGGUUGCUUAGGUGUUGCUAAGCAGUUGCUAGGCAGUUGCUAACGUAUUCCACACGGUUGCUAAGCAGUUGCUAACGUUUUCCAAGUGGUGGCUAAAGUAUAGCUAACUGGUUGCUAGGCAGUUGCUAUCAUUUCUAAAGUGGUUGCUAAGCAGUUGCUAGGCAGUUGCUAACAUAUUCCACAUGGUUGCUAACAUUUUCCAGGUGGCUGAUAAG